rnacentral:rRNA from 1 species
CUGAGACACGGACCAGACUCCUACGGGAGGCAGCAGUGAGAAAUAUUAGACAAUGGGCGAAAGCCUGAWCUAGCCAUGCCGCGUGCAGGAUGACGGCCCUAUGGGUUGUAAACUGCUUUUAUACAGGAAGAAAAAACUCUACGUGUAGAGUCUUGACGGUACUGUAAGAAUAAGGAUCGGCUAACUCCGUGCCAGCAGCCGCGGUAAUACGGAGGAUCCAAGCGUUAUCCGGAAUUAUUGGGUUUAAAGGGU